rnacentral:lncRNA from 1 species
AUGACUAAUUGAUUUUCACUUCUUCUUAGCUUUUCCAAAGUUGAAUUCUUCGUAGAGGUUUUUUUUUUUUUUUUUUUUCGCCUUUUUUUUCUUUUUUUUUUCUUUUUUUUCUUUUUUUUUUUUUUUUUUUUUUUUUUUUUUUUGCCACUGAAACCAACCUCUCUGAGUGGAAUACAUCUCUCUUCUUCCAAAAUGACUGAGGAGAUGAUACCCUAGACUGAAUGUAGCAGCAAUCAUGAAGUGACAGCCUUAUAGACUUUUGGUUUGGUGUUAAUGAGCUCUGAGAUCUUGGGUAAGUCACUCUUUUCAGGCUUAAAGGGUUUGAUUAGACAAUCUAUGUCCCCUUCCAGUUCUAAGACUUUGUGGGCCUUUGGAAAAAAACAUUGGCUCUGGUAUUAUGGGGAUUUGUACAUUUCAUUUCUGGAAAUUAAUCUGAAAGGAGUAAAAGCAACAGAGUCUGUUAUUAUUGCAACUACCUUGAAUCUUUCUUAUUUGCUUAAAAAGUAAAUAUUGUAGACUUUUCUGAAUAAAUUACGGUGGUGGUGGGUGGGGAGGCAGCUAAUUCCCGAUCAGGUGUUUCCUUCCUAAAUAAGAUACUGGCCCUUUAACAACAACAAAAAAAGAACAGGGCCAGAGGGCGCGGCCUAGGGACUCAGGUGGCAGCUAAUCCGGCUUCUUCCGGGAAAGUCGCCCUGAAGCCUGUCGUAUGGCAUCCUGGGAUUUGAAGUUUCUCUUAGGGCCGCUCUCCCUUGACGACUCGUUGUUUUUGAGGGGAAGAUGGACUACAACUCCCAGAGGGCCAAGCGGCAGCAGCGGGGUCCUGUUCUCUCGCUGUGGCUGGGCGGCUAGUUCAAGUUGCCAUAGCUGCGACUCUGGGGAGAGCACAGUCGGUUGCGCCGCAGCGUCAGGUAUCUGUCCCCAGCGGGCUCCUCGCCCUUUCUUGACUGCUUCCCUAUCCCAUCGGAGAGGUUUUCGGUCCCGCUUGCCCUGGUCCGAGACGAGGGGUGGGGACGCCGGAGCUGCGCGGACAUCUGGGGUGUGGCCGUGGCCGGUGGAGUGUAGGUGGGCGGCGGCGGCGGCGGCGGCGGCGGGGGGGGGGGGGGGGGGGGGCGCGGGGGGGCGGUCCCGGGUCCCGGCAUCCCGACGCCUCCUCCCUCCGCACGAGCCGCGGCCAAGUUAUCCCGGGAAUUUGAACUCCGCAGGUACGAACUGGCUGCUCGCAGCUGCGCAGCCUGAGCUGUCACGGAUGUUGGUGUCGUUCCGGCGCUAACUUGACGUUUUGUACCUGUUGAGCGGUUACAAGAGUUUGCUCCUCCCGGGCGCGCUGCGUCGGUUGCCUGGCUUUCCGAGGCCGUCGGGGAGCGGCCCCAGCCUUGGCUGCCAGGAGCCCCUUCCCUGAAGUUGUUUGGUGGGAACGCCUGACCUUGAAUUCAGCGGCGUCCUUGGUGGGUUUGAGGAGUCUCAGUCCGUCAGGCGGACGUCUCGUGGGACCGCUUUGCAGCCGUGUUGCUCCAAGUACGGUGCAGAGUACCUAGAUUCUUUUUUUUUUUCUUUUUAAAGAUUUUAUUUAUUAAUGAGACACACACACACACACACACACACACACACAGAGGCAGAGACGCAGGCAGAGGGAGAAGCAGGCUCCACGCAGGGAGCCCGACGUGGGACUCGAUCCCGGGUCUCCAGCAUCACACCCCGGGCUGCAGGCGGCGCUAACCGCUGAGCCACCCAGCUGCCCGGGUGUAGAGUACCUAGCGCGCAGGGCGGGACGCCGUCUUGUUACUUAUUUCAUUCGUCAUGCAGAACCGUGCUGUGCAAUAGAAAUAUAAUAUGAGCCACACAGGCAAGUUUUAGAUUUUUCGAGUGCCCACAUUGAACAGAUAAAUUGAUUUUAAGAACUUCUUAUUUAGCGCAGUGUAUCCAGAACACUUUCAACAUGUAGUGAGUAUGAAAUUUAUGGAGAUAUUUUUACAUUCUUUUUUUAAAAUAUUUUAUUUAUGAGAGAGAGAGAGAGAGACAGACAGACACAGGCAGAGGGAGAAGCAGGCCCCAUGCAGGGAGCCCGACGUGGGACUUGAUCUUGGGUCUCCAGGAUCACGCCCUGGGCCGAAGCCCGCGCGCACUAAACCACUGAGCCACUGAGCCACCUGGGCUGCCCUCCACCUAACUUUUUAAAAAAUAUUUAUUUAUUUAUUUAUUUUUAAUUAAUUAAUUAUGAGAGGCACACACACACACACAGAGGCAGAGAGACACAGGCAGAGGGAGAAGCAGGCUCCAUGCAGGGAGCCCGACGUGGACUCGAUCUCGGGUCUCCAGGAUCACGCCCUGGGCUGAAGGGGGCGCUAAACCGCUGAGCCACUGGGGAUCCCUGAGAUACUUUACAUUCUCAAAGCAUUUGUGUUUAAAGGCACCAAGUCUUCACAUUCCCUCAUAUAUUUUACACUUCUAGUAACCUGUCCUUUCAAACUGGCCAGGUUUUAGGAGCUCAGUAGCUCACGUGGCUGGCGGCUCCUGUAUUGGCAGCGCAGAAGAUGAAAACUAAAGCCAUUUCACAUUAACAGAAAAAUGGGGUUGUUUGUAGAACUCGCCUUUGGGAAAUUUGCCUCUUUGUUAGAUGAGUGAAUUGUGCAUCCUACCUAUGUCCUGUCACUGGGUGAUCUGGGUCACUUUGAACACUCUCUAACAGUUUAUUUUGAUUUCACUUUUCCAGAGUCCUUUUUUUUUUCUUUCUUUCCUUGAAGUUGUUUAUAGAUGUAUUCUCAGAACAACUUUUCAUGUAGACAAUGACCAAUUCCCAGAAUAACUUUCCGUGGAUUCUUACAGACUGCUUUGAAAGCAGUCACCGAGUGUUGAAAAUAUUUCUGUCCAUAGCUCUCUCCCAC